UGAGUUGGUUUUGAGGCGAGUUGACCUGCUCCCCCACCCCCACGGUUGUUGCUACUUUAAGUUUAAGCCACGCCCACAGUAGUCAAACGGAAAUCAGUGUCAAUGGUAUGAUAAUGGUUUGUCAACUAAAUGAUGAAAAAUGAAAAUACGGUACAGAACUAGUACGGUUCCUUAAAGACUGAAGCUAGAAGUCAUUCCAUGCUUGUUUUUAUGGAUAGAACCUGAUUUAUUGUCUUGUUGGGACAGGCCAAGCAGACUACAAAAUGGAAACAAUAAGAAAAGUGCUAGAUUCGUAUUCAGAUGAUAAAACAAAGUUUUUUGUUUCAUGAUGAUUGUUCCUUAGUAAAAAAAAAAAAAAUAGCAAGUGUCAAUGUGUCAGAUGUUGAAGUUGUGAGAUACAAGUGAAUAUCAGACUGAACUUGGAAAGGUUUUGGGGGGUUUGUUUUACAUAAUUGUGAUUUAUAUUUCUAAAUUAUGAUGCUUUGCAUGUUGUUGGUUUUAUAUUUUUAGACAUUUAUAAAUGCUUUCCGUUUACAUACAUUUGGGUUCAUACCCCCAAUCCCCCCCCCCCCCCACACCCCACACACACACAAAUUCAUUGACAUUAAUUGGCUUUAAUCUGGGGGAGGGAGAUAGAGAAGAAGGAAAGAGAGAGAGGGAGGGGUGAGCAGAUGGAAGACCUGGAUAGUUAUUGCUGGGGAUAAAUACACUGCGACACUAUGGAUUGCUUGUCGACUUUUUUUUCUGUUAUGUACUGUAUAUAUAACAUAACAUGGUGACAGAUGUCAAAAAAAAAAAAAAAAAAAAAAAACCCACCCAAAAUAUGUUGACGA